CAGAGAAACAAAACCCAGAAAAAGGAGCCGUAUUUAUAUAUCUCAUGUGAUUUUGCGCAAAUGGAGGCAUCAUGGGUUUGGUGAAAUUAACACGUUUCCGCUUCUAGCAUGUGGAUUUGAGGGGAUUGAAAGCUGCUGCUCUUUGUGUUUUUAUUAGAUUUCAGAUUUCUCAUCCGCCCGGUGACCGUUCUGGUGAAUGACUUUGCUUGCACAUUUAGCACGCAAUGUGUGGUCGGUUCUAUUAUUUAUAUUGGAUUGUCGGGUUAAUAUCAUUAACUUUUUGGCUUAAAUAAAAUUUAUUCAUGUUUCAAAAAAAUUUAUCACCUUUUUCUUAAUUUACAAAAACUAUUAUUCUCUUUUUCAGCCGUAACUUAGUUGAACUACAAUCAAAGUUAUGUUGUAAUUAGUUUAAAUCUGAGAAAACUUAGAUGGAACAUUUCCUUAUUAGUAUCUGUGACAGAUACAAAUAAUAGUAUUUUAGAUUUUUUUUCACUUUUUAUUUUCCUUUAACAAAGUUGCAAACGUAUUAUCUGUUGUGGUAAAUAUGGUUUUCUAUGUGAUAUAUUUUUGUCAAUCAUAUAUUUUUUGUCUAUACUAUAAAUGAGAAGGGUUGACAAGUUAUGGUCUUUUUUUACUAUUCAAAAUGGUUAAAAAACGACUGCACCUUUUGCGUUUUGUAUUUUAUUUUGUUUUGGCUUUUUUUUAAUUUUAUUUACUAUUAACAUGCUGUCGUUUAUAGUAAAGAUACCCAAACCUACCAUUUUGUCGUUUUCCUCCCAAAAUGGUAUGCCAAGGAUAUAAUAGUAAUUUUACAUAAAUUAGAAAACAAUGGUGCAGUGUCAAAGAGUACAAUGCUAUUGCGGAGAAGGUGUAUCUCCGGUAUGGGAAGGAUUCUGCAAAGUUGAGGGAGGGGUGUACUAAGGUAUGGGUUGUAUUGAUUCUUGCGAUGAGGAAGGUGUACUUUGGUAUUGUUUUGGUUUGCUCCUUAAGAUGUGAAGCUGAGACCUCAAGAAAUUAUCAGAGUUAAACUCGAAUACAGUGAUGAGGAUGUCAAGAAGCAGCAGAAACGAGGAGGAGGAGGAGAAAGAAAGGCCAUACAAGAAGAACGCACUGAUUUUUACUUCAUUCUUCACGGCUAGAACAGGGUAGCUUCAAAUUUUUUUUUUUAAAAUUUUUCACUUAAUAUAUGAACCCUUUGGUCUCUAUCUUUGAAGAAACUCCCUAUCUCUUUUUCUUUCUCUUUCUCUGUAUUCUCUGUUCUAGCUUCUCACCGAAUCCUCAUCCCCACCACACAAAAGGAAAGAAAAAAAAAAAAAAAAAAAAAAAAGAAAACAAAAAAGAAAAUGUCUUCCCUGAACAAGCUUUAGGGGAUGGAUUUGAUGAAACUGUAUAUCCUUUGUGUAUACUAUAAAUGAGAAGUGCUGACGAGUUUUGGUCUUUUUUACUAUUCAAAAUAUAUUAUAUGAAUAUGAGUGGUAGGAAAUCGCUUUAACGCUUUCCCUUCCUUGACUCCGUGUGAGCUCCUCUUGGCCAUUGUCGAGCACAGUGAGCGUAUACUCGAAUCGGUAGCCCUGAUUAAAAAAGAACCGCUCCAUAAAUCUCCUCUUAGAUUUUAUUGGAAAACAGAACAACAUUAGAAUCGGCAUGGCUUGAUGAUUUUACAAAGAAAUAAUAAUAAUAAUAAUAAUAAUAAUAAUAAUAAUAAUAAUAAUAAUAAUAAUAAUAACUAAAAAAAAAAAAAAGGUGGCAGAGUCACAGAAUAGAGAGGAAGAGGAUUGUGACUUGGAAGAGAGAUUUUGUAGAGCGUAUCAAUUGGAAAUCCUUGGUCUUGGCCGGGAGCAGUUCCGAUCUCUGGCAUUUUGAAUUCCAUUUUAUACUUUUUAUCCAAAAACAAUCCAAGCCAUGUCGCGGGAGAGACCCAGAAGAGGCACUCUGCCUCCUGCUCAAGAGCAUAUUGACAAAUAAGCAAAAGUUGUAGAAUGGGGUAAUUGCUAUGGGGCUCAACAAAUGUACAAAUCGAUCAGUGCAAGGUAUACAUUACUGAUGAAAGUCGUGCAUGCUUUAUUGCAGAUAUGCAUCUGCGCAGAGGUAUUCUGAAGCAUUGGAUAUCCUUCAGGCAGGUGCAUGCAUUCAGCUGAAACAUGGGCAGUUUGUAUGUCUUUUGGAAAUUUGAAGAAAUUUGAGGGUUGUUAACGUCUUUUAAAGUAUCUACCAACUUUUGUACGGGAAGUUGAAUCUUUCCUCUCCUGUGCAUUCUUCAUUCCUCCUUCCAUUGAAGCUCAGAUUCACCCAAAAAAAAAAAAAAAAAAACAAAAGAGAAGAAAAGAAAAAUAACUCUGGGAUGUGCUUCAAGGUCGCUUGGGUCAUCUGGUGUCAGGGGUUGUGGUAUGGUAUGCAUUAUGGUUAUGAUGACUUACAGUAUGGUAAGGAUAGAGUUGGUGUACUUUAUACAAAAUUCUGGACUUCAUUAUUGUACUUCAAAAAGGACUUUGACUUAUCAUCUUUUCUCUCCCCCUACUCUCUUUAUCAGUGACGACAAAGAACCUGAGGAUUGUGUUAUUCACUACAAAAUUGCAAAAUGGUUAAAGAAGUAAAGCUAAUCAAGGAUAUUCAAGCUCAACAAAGAGGUUGGACAGUAAAAGUGGUGGUUAUUGAGAAAGCAAUGCCAGAGUUUCUAAAUCAAGUCCAAACAAAUAUCAAAGGUUAAUCUUAGCUGAUAAAGAAGGUAAUAAGAUCCAGGCCACAAUAUAUGGUGGAGACAUUCACAUCUUCCGAGACACACUCAUAAUUGGGAAAAAUUAUUAUAUUUCUAAUGCUUGCGUUAAAGAAAUUGGUGCACAAUAUCAGAUUGUUCAAAAUAAUUUGCAAUGGACUAUAAAUGGUCGAACCAUUGUGGAAGAAGUGACUGGAGAUUCAGAGAUAAUUGUGCCUGCUGUUUACAGCUUUGUUCCGUUCUCACGACUACACACUUAUAUUGAUUCUCUAUCCCACGUUGGAAUGUUUGUCUAUAUAGUCAAUUUGUUCAGCUAUAUUUUUAUAACUUUUCAUUUAUAUUUAAUUCAUCAUGUGGACAAAUUUCUAAUGAUCUAUAACAUUUUAAUUAACUUUUAAAUUUGUUUAUCAUCAGAUGUGAUUGGAAUAGCGAUUGAAAUCAAGCCAAAAAAGGAGAUAAUCACGAAUGAUGGUUUAGAGAUUGUCCAAGAGAUGACUUUGAUGAAUGAUAAUAUGGAUACUGUGAUACUUACCAUGUGGAACCAAUUUGUGAACAAUGAAUGUACUCAAAUUUUGAAUAUUAUGAAUAGAAAACCAAUCAUAAUUGGAUGUCGACUUAAAGUUAGCUCAUAUAAUGGUAUCUCGCUUUCAACCAAAUCCUCCAGUUCAUUUGUUAUUGAACCGGAGAUACCACAAGCAGCUGCUUUAUCAAUUUGAUUUUCUGCUUUUCUAGAUUUUCUGUUCAUCUAAGAGUUGGUGAUGCAAACCCGCCCGAGCUCGCACCAUCAACAACUCGCUGGGGUACUGAUCCGAUACAGAUGAAGGCUGGACCGAUCACUAGGGCUCAAGCUAAGAGGUUUAAGGACAACCUUGCUGCCUUUAUCCAGAAAGUAAUUCAUUCUCAAAAGGGCGUGUCCAUACCUGAAAAUAAAAGACCUGUUUUAAGUAUUCAAGUGGUGGAGGCUGAUACAUCGGACACCCAUACAUCAGAUAUUUUAUAUCGGACACCGACAUCUGAUCUCGGACUUCGGAUAUCGGAGCCUUGCCUCAGACAUCUGAUCUCAGAUGAGUCUUGCCUCGGACAUCGGAUGUAACUUAGCUCGGUCAGACACAACUUAGCUCGGACAGACAUCAGUUAGUUCGGCCAGACACAACUUAGCUCGGUUACAACUUAGCUCGGACAGACAUCAGUUAGCUUGGCCAGACACAACUUAGUUUGGACAGACAUCAGUUAGCUCGGGCAAACACAAGUUAGCUCAGACAGACAUCAGUUAGCUCGGAUAGGCCAUAAGUUAGCUCGGACAUCAGGCAGACAUCAAUACUAUCCUCGGAUAUUUUAUAUCGGACACCCAUGUCUCGGACAUCUGAUCUCGGACUUCGGAUAUCGGAGCCUUGCCUCGGACAUCUGAUCUCGGAUGAGUCUUGCCUCGGACAUCGGAUGUAACUUAGCUCGGCCAGACACAACUUAGCUCGGACAGAAAUCAGUUAGUUCGGCCAGACACAACUUAGCUCAGACAGACAUCAGUUAGCUCGGCUAGACACAACUUAGUUCGGACAGACACAAGUUAGCUUAGAUAGACAUCAGUUAGCUCGGAUAAGCCAUAAGUUAGCUCGGACAUCAGGCAGACAUCAACACUAUCCUCGGAUAUUUUAUAUCGGACACCCAUGUCUCGGACAUCUGAUCUCGGACUUUGGAUAUUGGAGCCUUGCCUCGGACAUCUGAUCUUGGACGAGUCUUGCCUCGGACAUCGGAUGUAACUUAGCUCGGCCAGACAUAACUUAGCUCGGACAGACAUCAGUUAGUUCGGCCAGACACAACUUAGCUUGGACAGACAUCAGUUAGCUCGGUUAAACACAAGUUAGCUCAGACAGACAUCAGUUAGCUCGGAUAGGCCAUAAGUUAGCUCGGACAUCAGGCAGACAUAAGUUAGCUCGGUUGAAGAAAUAAUUCCGCCUAAAUGUCAAAGUCAACUCGUUACCUAAUUUGCGAUUGACUUUCUUUCUUUUUGGGUUUUUAUUUAUUUAUUUUAUGGACAAAUAACUUUAGGAAGGUUUUUAUUUUAUUGUAAAUUAAUUAAUUCCUAAUUUAAUAUAAAGGAAUUAAUUAAUCAAACUCAGAUUAGGAAAGAAAGUAUAGUUGCGGCCAACUAGGAUUCUUUAUGUGUGUGGCCGGUUUUACCUAGGAUUUUUAGAGUUUAUUUUGUUUCUUUCAAAGCCUAUCUAAAGGCUUAGUUAUCAAUAAGAACUAACUUUGAUUUGAUUGAGAAAA